AACAGAAAUAAUAAGACGAUGAUUUGUUAAAAUCUUGCUCUCCUCUCCUUCCAAUCUAAAAUGUUCUAAAAAUUUCCGUAUAAAAGCAUAUGCUGGAGGAAGGUUAAAAGCUACUGGAGUUCUAAAAUCACUUUUUAUCAUUUUUAGUUUUCUAAGAUAGGACCCGCACCAGAAUCUGGUCAUCGUGUUUGUUUUGUUAUUGCUGGAAAGGUUCAUUGCUUGUUUCAGGUGCGUGCUCGUAUAAUGGCUGCCUAAAAACAAGUGAAGGUCUGGGACUCCUUUUCCUCCUUUUUCUUUGGGUUUGUACAUGAUUUCUCUUUUUAUCCUUUCCCAUUUAGAGUUCCAUAUGAAAUAAAAAAUGGCUCGUUGUAGUUCUAAAAACACUCUCUUAGGAGGGAUAAAAACAGCACUGGUGAGUAAAAACACUGGUAAAAUCACAGCUUUAACUAUUAAAAUCUUUCCUUCUAUCGUAAGGUUCCUCAUCCCCCAGAAUCCCAGUCGCUGUUUUACUCUUCUUGUUAUUUCAAUCCAGUUUGUCUUUCCUUCUCCAUGUUUGUCAAAUUUUACUCCCAGUAUUUUUUGUUCUUCUUCCGUUACUUGAAACUGACAUCCUAAUUUUUCAUUCUCUUUCCAUGGUCCAUAAAAUUUUGCUUUUGUUUUUUCUUUGUUUAAUUUUGACCCUGAUGCUUUCCCAAACCAAUCGGUUAAUUGAAAAAUCCUAUCUAUUGAUAAAAGAUCUGUACAUAAAAUGUUAAAAUCAUCCAUGUAUAAAAGACAUUUCGCUACCUGCCCUCCACUCCCCGGUAUCGUUACACCUAAAAUCUGUGGGUCCCUUCUCAAGAUCUGCGCCAGCGGCUCGACGCAGGCCACAUAGAGAAGGGCGGAUAACGGACAACCCUGACGGACACCGCAGUUCACUUUCACUGCUUUUGUCAGAAACCCGUUAACCAUGAAUCUGCUGGAGAUGUUUCGGUACAGCAGUCCCACCCACGCUACGAACCUCCCAGGAAAACCCAUUUUUUGCAGUACCUGGAAGAGAUGGUGUCUCGGAUCAGUACCAGGCUGUCCGUGAUCCUCCUUCCCGGGACGGCGCAGGCUUGAUCCGGGUGGAUUAGAUCCCCCAACACUCGACGCAUCCUGGCUGCUAAAAGUCUACUAAAAAUCUUACAAUCAACGUUUAAAAGGGUCUUGGAGGGUCUGCCACUCGUGGUACCGCUCCCGGUACUGGCCGACCAGAACCUGGUCUUCCAGCAGGGAGCGGUUGAGUUUCCACAGACCUCUCCCGGUCGUCGC